rnacentral:rRNA from 1 species
UACAGAGGUCUCAAGCGUUGUUCGGAUUCAUUGGGCGUAAAGGGUGUGUAGGUGGCGCGCUAAGUCGGGUGUGAAAUUUCGGAGCUUAACUCCGAAACUGCAUUCGAUACUGGCGUGCUUGAGGACUGGAGAGGAGACUGGAAUUCAUGGUGUAGCAGUGAAAUGCGUAGAGAUCAUGAGGAAGACCAGUGGCGAAGGCGGCCUUCUGGACAGUGACUGACGCUGGAGACGCGAAAGCGUGGGGAGCAAACAGG